UAUUGCACAAUGGGGGAAACCCUGAUGCAGCGACGCAGCGCGAGUGAAGGAGUAUUUCGGUANGUAAAGCUCUAUCAGCAGGGAANNAANNNANGGGACCUGAGUAAGAAGCCCCGGCUAACUACGUGCCNNNANCCGCGGUAAUACGUAGGGGGCAAGCGUUAUCCGGAUUUACUGGGUGUAAAGGGAGCGUAGACGGCAGCACAAGUCUGGAGUGAAAUGCCGGGGCUUAACCCCGGAACUGCUUUGGAAACUGUGCAGCUAGAGUGCAGGAGAGGUAAGUGGAAUUCCUAGUGUAGCGGUGAAAUGCGUAGAUAUUAGGAGGAACACCAGUGGCGAAGGCGGCUUACUGGACUGUAACUGACGUUGAGGCUCGAAAGCGUGGGGAGCAAACAGG
rnacentral:rRNA from 1 species